rnacentral:rRNA from 1 species
GAUGAACGCUGGCGGCGUGCCUAAUACAUGCAAGUCGAACGGACGGACGAUAAUCUUGCGUCUCUGAUGUUAGCGGCGGACGUGUGAAUAACGCGUGGAUAACCUACCUAUAAGAGGGAUAUAACUUCGGAAAACCGGAGCUAAUACCGUAGAAGAUUUUGAACCGCAUUGUGCAAAGGUAAAAUACGGUCUUGCUGGCACGUAUAGAUGGAUCCGCGCUUCAUUAGAUAGUUGGUAAGGUAACGGCUUACCAAGGCAACGAUGCAUAGCCGACCUGAGAGGGUGAUAGGCCACACUGGAACUGAGACACGGUCAAGACUACUAAGGGACGCAGCAGUCGGGAAUCUUACGCAACGGGCGAAAGCAUGACGGAGCAACGCCGAGCGAGUGAUGAAGGUCUCCGGAUCGUAAAACUCUGUUAUUAGGGAAGAACAUAUGUGUACGUAAAUGUGCACAUCUUGACGGUACCUAAUCAGAAAGCCACGGCUAACUACGUG